rnacentral:rRNA from 1 species
GACGAACGCUGGCGGAGUGCUUAACACAUGCAAGUAGAACGCAGUUGCGAACGGGUGAGUAACGCGUAGGUAACAGCCUGGAAGCGGGGGAGAACUCAUGGAAACGAUAGCUAAAAACGCAUACUACAUGAUGGACCUGCGUGGUAUUAGCUAGUGGGUGGGGUAACGGCGCACCAAGGCAACGAUACAUAGCGGACCUGAGGGGGUGAUCGGCCACAACGGGCAUGGGACACGGCCCAGACUCCUACGGGAGGCAGCAGUAGGGAAUCUUCGGCAAUGGACGGAAGUCUGACCGAGCAACGCCGCGUGAGUGAAGAAGGUUUUCGGAGCGUAAAGCUCUGUUGUAAGAGAAGCGGUAUCUUACCAGAAAGGGACGGCUAACUACGUGCCAGCAGCCGCGGUAAUAC